rnacentral:rRNA from 1 species
UACGUAGGGGGCGAGCGUUGUCCGGAUUUACUGGGCGUAAAGAGCGCGUAGGCGGUCUGCCAAGUCGUGCGUGAAAUACCCCGGCUCAACCGGGGGGAGUCGUGCGAUACUGGUGGACUGGAGGCCGGAAGGGGGAAGCGGAAUUCCCGGUGUAGUGGUGGAAUGCGUAGAUAUCGGGAGGAACACCAGUGGCGAAGGCGGCUUCCUGGUCCGGUCCUGACGCUGAGGCGCGAAAGCGUGGGGAG